ACCCACAUAGUCUAGUGGUCAAGACACCUUGAAAUCAUAUGAAUUGGAUUGCUAUCGGAUUUCAGGGAGACGGGAGUUCGAUUCUUCCUGUGGAUA